rnacentral:misc_RNA from 1 species
CAAAAAAAUAAUAAAAACAGUACAAUAAUUCAGCAUAUAACUGUGUAUCGAAUUUGACUUUUUUUUCCCUUAAAGAAAGCUAAUGUGUGGUGCAAAUAUCAGGUGAUAGAGUCCAAAUAACACCACCCAUAAUUUUCUCUAGCAAGUAAUACACGAUUAUAUAAUAAUUUUUUAUAACCAUAUAAAAUUUAUCAUAAUUAAUGAUGAAAGUCUACCCGCAUACAUAUAGCAGUUAUGUGGAUCCAGAGAAGAAUUUCC